CUCGUGUCGUGAGAUGUUGGGUUAAGUCCCGCAACCGAGACGCAACCCCUACGUUUAGUUGCUAACGUGUAACGAUGAGCACUCUAGGCGGACUGCCGUUGACAAAACGGAGGAAGGUGGGGAUGACGUCAAAUCAUCAUGCCCCUUAUGUUCUGGGCUACACACGUGCUACAAUGGCCGGUACAGACGGAGGCGAAGCCGCGAGGCGGAGCAAAUCCGAAAAAGCCGGUCUCAGUUCGGAUUGCAGGCUGCAACUCGCCUGCAUGAAGCCGGAAUCGCUAGUAAUCGCGGAUCAGCAUGCCGCGGUCGAAUACGUUCCCGGGCCUU
rnacentral:rRNA from 1 species